CUCUCUUUGUUAAUAAUAAAUAAGGAGUUGGGCCUGCUCGGUGAAUAUUUUUUAACAGCUGCGGUAUUUUAACUGUACUAAGGUAGCAUAAUAAUUUGCCUUAUAAUUUGAGGCUAGAAUGAAUGGUUUGACGAAGGUUAAUCUGUCUCCGUUUUAUUUUUUAGAAAUUAAUUUUCAUAGUGAAAAAGCUUGAAUUUUUUAAAGGGACGAGAAGACCCUAUUGAGCUUAUAAUUUUAUUACUAUUGUGUUUUGUUGAAUUAUCAUCAUAGUAUAUAAAUUUUAAUUGGGGUGAUUAAGGAAUAAAUUUUAUGGUAUAACUUCCUUAGAUUAAUAUAUUGUUAGAUGAGUACCGAUAUAGUUAACAUAGUGUGUUUAGAGUAUUUGCUUUAUAAUAUUAGUUUACCAUAGGGAUAACACGUAAUUUACUUAGAGAGUUCUUAUUGAAAAGUAAGAUUGCGACCUCGAUUGUGGAUUAAAGUAACCUUAAGGUGCAGAAGCUUUAUAAGGUAAAUCUGUUCGAUUUUUAAAACUUUAC
rnacentral:rRNA from 1 species